rnacentral:rRNA from 1 species
UGACGGUACCUGCAGAAGCAGCUGCGGCUAACUACGUGCCAGCAGCCGCGGUAAUACGUAGGCAGCGAGCGUUGUUCGGAGUUACUGGGCGUAAAGGGUGUGUAGGCGGUUGUCUAAGUUUGGUGUGAAAUCUCCCGGCUCAACUGGGAGGGUGCGCCGAAUACUGAAUGACUAGAGUGCGGGAGAGGAAAGUGGAAUUCCUGGUGUAGCGGUGAAAUGCGUAGAUAUCAGGAGGAACACCGGUGGUGUAGACGGCUUUCUGGACCGUAACUGACGCUGAAACACGAAAGCGUGGGUAGCAAACAGGAUUAGAUACCCUGGUAGUCCACGCCCUAAACGAUGCAUAUUUGGUGUGGGCAGUUCAUUCUGUCCGUGCCGGAGCUAACGC